AACGAACGCUGGCGGCAUGCCUAACACAUGCAAGUCGAACGAACCCUUCGGGGCUAGUGGCGCACGGGUGCGUAACGCGUGGGAACCUGCCCUUUGCUUCGGAAUAACUCCGGGAAACUUGUGCUAAUACCGGAUGAUGUCUUCGGACCAAAGAUUUAUCGCCAUUGGAUGGGCCCGCGUUGGAUUAGCUAGUUGGUAGGGUAAAAGCCUACCAAGCCGACGAUCCUUAGCUGGUCUGAGAGGAUGAUCAGCCACACUGGGACUGAGACACGGCCCAGACUCCUACGGGAGGCAGCAGUGGGGAAUAUUGGACAAUGGGCGCAAGCCUGAUCCAGCAAUGCCGCGUGAGUGAUGAAGGCCUUAGGGUUGUAAAGCUCUUUUACCCGGGAUGAUAAUGACAGUACCGGGAGAAUAAGCUCCGGCUAACUCCGUG
rnacentral:rRNA from 1 species